rnacentral:rRNA from 1 species
UACGGAGAGUGCAAACGUUGUUCGGAUUCACUGGGCGUAAAGGGCACGUAGGCGGCUCAGCAAAUCAGUCGUGGAAUCCCGACGCUUACCGUCGGAACGGCGGCUGAAAAUACUGGGCUUGAGGGCGUGAGGGGUCACUGGAACUCCCGGUGAAGCGGUGAAAUGCGUAGAUAUCGGGAGGAACGCCGGAGGCGAAAGCGAGUGACUGGCGCGUUCCUGACGCUGAGGUGCGAAAGCUAGGGGAGCAAAC